AUUGAACGCUGGCGGCAGGCCUAACACAUGCAAGUCGGGCGAGCGGCGGACGGGUGAGUAAUGUAUAGGGAUCUGCCUGAUGGCGGGGGCUAACUACUGGACACGGUAGCUAAUACCGCAUACCAUCCGAUGAACACAUAUGGUCUUAGCUAGUAGGUAAGGUAACGGCUUACAUAGGCGACGAUCCCUAGCUGGGCUGAGAGGAUGAUCAUCCACGGUGGGACUGAAACUGUGUCCAGAAUCCUACGGGAGGCAGUAGUGGAGAAUAUGGCACAAUGGGCGCAAUACUGAUGCAGCCAAGCGGCGUGUAUGAAGAAGUCUUUCGGGUUGUAAAGUACUUUCAGGCGGGAGGCGGUAGCUACAGAAGAAUCACCGGCUAACUCCGUGCCAGCAGCCGCGGUAAUUC
rnacentral:rRNA from 1 species